UACGUAGGUGACCAGCGUUGUCCGGAUUUACUGGGCGUAAAGAGCGUGCAGGCGGUCGUUCAAGUCGAGUGUGAAAGCCCCCGGCUCAACUGGGGAGGGUCACUCGAUACUGAUCGACUUGAAGGCAGGAGAGGGAAGCGGAAUUCCCGGUGUAGUGGUGAAAUGCGUAGAUAUCGGGAGGAACACCAGUGGCGAAGGCGGCUUCCUGGCCUGUUCUGACACUGAGGCGCGACAGCGUGGGGAGCAAACAGG
rnacentral:rRNA from 1 species